CAUGCCGUAAACGAUGAGUGCUAAGUGUUAGGGGGUUUCCGCCCCUUAGUGCUGCAGCUAACGCAUUAAGCACUCCGCCUGGGGAGUACGACCGCAAGGUUGAAACUCAAAGGAAUUGACGGGGGCCCGCACAAGCGGUGGAGCAUGUGGUUUAAUUCGAUGAUACGCGAGGAACCUUACCCGGGCUCGAACGGUGCAGGAAUACAGGAGAGAUUCUGUAGCAUAGCAAUAUGUCUGCAUCGAGGUGC
rnacentral:rRNA from 1 species